UCAGAACGACUCUCGGCAACGGAUAUCUCGGCUCUCGCAUCGAUGAAGAACGUAGCAAAACGCGAUAUUUGGUGUGAAUUGCAGAAUCCCGUGAACCAUCGAGUUUUUGAACGCAAGWUGCGCSCGAAGCCAUUARGCCGAGGGCACGUCUGCAUGGGCGUCAC
rnacentral:rRNA from 1 species